UUAUUUGAGAGUUUGAUCCUGGCUCAGGAUGAACGCUGGCGGCGUGCCUAACACAUGCAAGUUGAGCGAUUUACUUCGGUAAAGAGCGGCGGACGGGUGAGUAACGCGUGGGUAACCUACCCUGUACACACGGAUAACAUACCGAAAGGUAUGCUAAUACGGGAUAAUAUAUUUGAGAGGCAUCUCUUA
rnacentral:rRNA from 1 species